rnacentral:rRNA from 1 species
UACGUAGGGAGCAAGCGUUGUCCGGAAUCAUUGGGCGUAAAGCGCGCGUAGGCGGCCCCAUAAGUCCGCUGUGAAAGUCAAAGGCUCAACCUUUGAAAGCCGGUGGAUACUGUGGGGCUAGAGUCCGGAAGAGGAGAGUGGAAUUCCUGGUGUAGCGGUGAAAUGCGCAGAUAUCAGGAAGAACACCCGUGGCGAAGGCGGCUCUCUGGGACGGUACUGACGCUGAGACGCGAAAGCGUGGGGAGCGAACAGG